UCCACACUGAGGUUGUGCCAUUUAUCUUCAGCUGCCGUUCCAUUCGUCAGCGCGCCGCAGAUGAGAGUUUAUGUAGGUGUUCUCAGGAUAUCUGUUUCAAGAUCACCCAGCUGCAUGUUUCCAGUUUACCCAGUCUGGGUGUGAGAGGAUGAAGAAGAGGAGGAAGAGGAGGUGGAGGUAGCGGGGGCAUCCAGAGGAAGACGCAUGUAAACCCAUUUCCAAACAAACGGGCCAGUGUUCAAUGCCUGAAUGAAUCAACGCGAGCGACCGCACAACAGGACAUGGUGGCCAUUUAACACUGGUGAGCCGAUGGUGAUUAUACUGUACACAUGCAGACAGAGUCAGAAAUGAAACCAAACAUGUGUGAGUUGAGGCUCACACAUGUUUACACUCCAGAAAGUUGUCCAUUUUUAUUUAAAGGCCUUUAUUCAGUCAGGUUCUUAUUGAACUGACCUGCAGCCAUAUUGUGGGAGUAGAUUUAGUGAUGUGAAGGGGAGGGUUAGCCAAAGUUAGAUGCAAAAUAAUACAAAUGUAUAAUAAAUAAUGAUGAAUGUAAGAAUGUGGAUCGGAUCUGUUGACUGACUUAUAAACAACAAAUAUGCCUGAAUAUCCAUUAAAACACAGCGUUGCCAUAGAAGCUUACAGCUACCAUCUUCCUUAUCUCCACUUUUAAGGUGUUCAGCCAAUCUGCACCAAGGAAAAUAAACGGCACUCUGUGAUUGGCUGCUCCGCAAACCAGCCAAUAGGAAGUCAGCAAUCAUCGAGUCCAGGUAUUUCAGCCCCGCAGGCCACAUUUUCUUUGACAUAUCAAAAUAUGUUGUACAAAAUAAAUGUAUAUCUGAAAAAUAAUGCUAACUUUCCACAAAUAAUCUGAAGUCGAGUUCCACAGAAAAUCCACCAAUAGCGUCCGUUUGAAUCACGCAGCUUUAAACACUGUCGUUCGUAUCAUGUAGCUCUAGCUAAAGUUGCAGCGGCGUUGAAUUUUAAUUUUGAAAAGGAGUGUGCCACUUCGUUUUUUUCCCUCACACUUAAACUCCAGCUUUUACUUUGAAAGGCCGCGGCUCAGAUUACACAGACAGGAACCAUAAAGACACGCAGAUGACAUUUCCUCCCGUCUCCCUCAUGAAUAUCAAAGCCAGGCCAGAAAAACAAGGCAGGGCAUUAGAGCCCUAUUAUUGUAUUUGCAUUCCCCAUAACACGCGGCGUAUUGGUUCCUGUAUUUAUUGCCUCAUCAGCGCGGCGUGGCUGCUAGCAGCGGCUGAUUUAUUAGCCCAACGUCACAUGGAGUGAGUUGGCGAACGGAGUGGAGGAAGGUUUUCCUGCUGGUGGACUUUCCUGACGAUUGGCUUCUCUCCUGGCCCGGAGCCAGAUCAGGACUUCUAUCUGCACAGCUCUACGUCCGGCUUGAGGUUUCCGUUUUUGUUUUGCAGAGUCUCUUGGAAGUGCAGCCGAGGUCCUCCGCUCAUCUCUUUUUUCCAAUCUUUCUGGGAUUUGGAGUGAUUUGCGCCGCGCUUCCCCGAGGGAAAUAAAUACUUUGAUUAAUGUAAUCCUGGGGAGGCUGAUGUCCCUCCCCUCCCCCACCUGUACCUGAGGGACUGCUCAGCAAAACAAAAACAAGAAGAAGAAGAAGAAACGAGCAGAGAGCGACAACUGGACGAGUGCGGAUUGGAUUUGUUUGGUUUCUUAAUUAGCGCGCCUUUACUGCGCAGCAUCAGUCUUGAUUAGCAUGUAGCGCUAUCCAACAGGACACUGUAAAAGUGUGGCUCACGCUCGUGUGACUCCUGGAAGUGGCAGCAUUAUGCUGGGUGGAACUGCUGGGGAUACAGGUGCAAAGUUCUUCCCGGUGCUCGGAUAAUUCCUUGAAAACAAGAAUUUGACGUGCAAGUUUAAAUGUACUACAUAGUUCCUAUCACGAGUGUUGAACCAGAUGGCAAAAGCAGUGGCAGCAUGAUCCUGUGGGAUAUGUGUAGCUUGAAGGAGAAGGGAGGGGGGGGGGGGGGUUCUUAAAAAAUGACUCAUAAAAAUAGUAACUGAAAGCAAAACUUAAAUUUAUUGCACUUUUCAUGCAAGAAAGACCAAGUGGCAGCAUCAUGCUGUGGGACCGCUGCUACUCAGACCAGCUCAUCUGAAAUAUGAAUGAUCAGCUCCAUCACCAGAACCUAAAAAACCUUAUUUACCAUAUUUUUUUCUUUUUUUUUUUUGUUGUUGUUUUGUUUUGUUUCAUUUUCCUCAUAACUAGUUUAGAACAAAUCCAAACUUUAUAUUUGUGUAUAUCAGUAUAUUUAUGCCACUCACUUCUAAUUAUUUAUUCAAUUUUUUAAAAAAAAGGUCAUUUAUAUAUAUUAUUAAGUCAUAACUAGUGUCAUUUUAAGGCACAUUUUUGUCUAUUUAUUAAAAAAUGUUUUCUAUCAUUUAAAAAGCCUCAAUGUUAUGACUGGCGCACAUAUUUUGUAAUAUUUCAUGUUAGAAAUAAAGAUGUAUUUUUACAUAUUAUUAUUCACAAAUAUUAUUUUUAGCGACUUUGCUCGACACGGUUCCUUUUGUCAAAUAUUGGGCCCCUGCCUCUUGAAAGUCUUCUGUUGCGGCCCUGCUGGGGGCACAAAACAUGAGCACCACCUCCGCCUGCUUCAACUUUACUGUAAAAAGUCAGAACUGAUAUCCACCUAGAAUUACACUAAUGAGCGCAAACAGGGGCGCAAAUAUCGAAAAUCUGCGCAAUAAUUCUGACGAAAGAGAGUCCAGUUAAACUCCUAACAUCUCUUCACCUGCACAUCUCCAGCAUCUCCGCGCUUCAGCUUCACAGAGCGGUUACUGUGUGUGUGUGUGUGUGUGUAUGUGAGACUCCAUGAAGCAUAUUAAUAAUAAAAAGCCUGUCUGAAUGAGGGGAAAAUCCCCAUUCAUGUCUGACACCGAAGGCCUGCUUGAAGCCCAUUUAAUUAACGGUAUAUAUUACCGUCUAAGUGCUGCGAAGUUCGGCUCUAAAUCAGCGUUUGGGCCUGACACGCUCAACGUAUGUCGGAUUACAGCGAGCCGGACCGAGCGUGAUGGGGGUGGGGGGGGGGGGGGGGCUGCAAAUAAAUUAUGUACCCCACAGGCAACUUUAAGUGUGCCAUAAUUAAAAAGCGGCGGGAAUUGCAUCAGUUUAAUGCGAAUAUGCGGCGGGCGAGCCACAGAAGUGUCUGAAAUUUACGGCCGAAAAUCAUCUUUUAUGGAGAAGAGAGACAAUAGAUUAAUGCGAGCUAAUUGAUUUCCCCCCUUAAUUCGCUGGAGCUGCUGUGCAACAAGCCUACAUUAAAAAAAUAUAUAUAUAUAUAUAUUUUUUUUUUUAAAUCCUCAUUUUAUUAAUUAGUGGCGCCUUGUAGGAGAUGUAUCUCUCUCUCUCCUCCCGCAGGAGCAACCCGCAAACUCCCGCGAUACUUCGGGAAUUCCUACCGCUAUCGGUUGCGAGCCCCUCCCCCCCCAUCCCGUCCUCUCCCCCAACAAAAAAAAAGUCGCGUCUCAGCCAUAUGUUUGCGCCAAACAUCCGUGAUGCACAUGGAGGCCGGACCUGAGGAGCCUGAGUGGCGGCUCUGGUGCGCAGGCGCAGGUGGUGGGUGGGUGGGGUGGGGGGGUCAAAGCCAUCAUAUGACAAAUUCUCUCCCUGUCUGAGGAUAAAAUGUAAAUAAUCUGAUAUCUGAAUUAGAAUUUGGCUCGUCAUAUUUAUUAGCUCUGUUGUGCGUCAUCAGCUGAAGUUUGCGCCACUCAGUAGUUUUAAUGUUGAGCACGAGGGUUUAUUAAAAACAUGAGUCCAUUUAAACGGGAUAGAAAUGGACUCAUUUGUGUUCCGAUUUUAUUAUUUCAGUAUUGAAGAUGAUAAACAAGGCGGGUAAUCUGACACAAAAUGGACUUUUUUUUUUUUCCUUUUUUUUUUUUUUGCGCCAACCUGCAGGACGAACGGGUGACGUUCGCAUCAUGAGUGAGCGCGACACCUGGCGGAUUUGAUGACCAAAUCAUACACACACUCCUACAAAAAAAAUAAAAAUGAUUAAAAAUAAACCAGACUGUCAGGAAGUAAAUAAUAGUAAUAAAAAAAAUAAAAAAAGAGCGACUCAACAGAGAGCAGCAGCAGGGGCGUGCACAGGAAUAAGGGGGCCGCGCGUUCAGAAAGAAAACUACAAUUAGUUAUUUCACAUGUUUGGGUCACUUUUAGACGGAAAGUGGUUUUCUUCCUUUAGUUUGUACAAAAAGUUCUCCGACGAACCCCCCCCCCCUCUCUCUCUCUCUCUCUCUCACACACACACACACACAAACGCAGAGUCGUUUUUCAUCUCGACUCCAGUGCACAAACAUACAGCUUAAUGCGGCCAGUGUUCCCGUCUUUUAUUGGCCUCACCAUGGCGACGGGGCGCGGGGCUCAGCAAUGCGGCUCCCCGUCACCCUCGGAGGCUUGGAGGAGGAGGAAGAGGAGGAACUCCGGGGGGAGGCGGGGGGGGAGGGAACAUUCAAAGUCCGGCAACUCUGACGGGAAACAGUUCUAGUUUUCAUAUAUAUAUAUUAUUUUUUAGCGGAUAACUGCUUCGCUUUCUCUGCCCGCAUGCAUGUUGAAGAUUAAAAAAAAAGAAGAAAACAACUUUAAGCAAACUUUAAGGUCGAUUCGCCUUAACCGAGGAUCCAGCCGAUGGGUCAACACAUUCCUCUCCUCUCUGGUUCUCGCCGCUUAAAAUCUGAUUGAUUGCACUUUUCUCCGGCGGACGUUCGCUACGAAACCGGCGCAGCUUCUCCAUCUGCUCCCCACUUCUAUGAUUUAGCGAUAAAAAGGAAGAGGGGGCGGGGGGGAUAACUGCCAGGCUGUUAUUAUUAUUAUUAUUAAUAAUAAUAAAAAUAAUAAAAUCGGCUUUAGAAAAACUACUCAUUAGCAGAACUUCCUCCAGAUUGGCGCAGAAGAACGGGGUGAAACGUCGCGUAAAAAAAAAAAAAAAA